UUACCCUACUGAUGCCCGCGUC
rnacentral:siRNA from 1 species